rnacentral:rRNA from 1 species
AUGCAGUCAAAUCUGCCGGCCUUCAAGACUGCGCCCGGUGCCCAGGCAAAGCUCACAAAAAGAGCGAAGAAGACCAGGUCAGCCGGAGUGCCGGACUUACCUGACCCGGAGGUGACGGCUGAAGAGCCGCCGGCUGCCUCCGCCCCCGAAGCCACCACUUCAAUGGACACGGCACCUGAGGCCUCUGCCCCGAUUACCAAGGCAACGACCGAAGCUUCGGUUAAUCCGGAGGCCUCCGGCUCAGCUCCACCAGCAGACGACCCGGACGUGGUAAUCACCCGGACGGAGUUCGUUGAGCCGGGGAGACCGACCGUGUUGGCCAAAUGCUCCGCGAAGGGGGAGCUGCUGCAGCCCCACCGGGUGAACCUGGACCUCUCCGGCUACACCGACUUGAGCAUUGGAGAGCUCGUCUCUGGCUACAUCAGCCAAGUACACAAAAGCCGGGACGCCGAGGUCGCCAUGGUCAACCAGAUCCAACAAAAAUUUGAGGCUGUUGGCAAGAAAUUAGAGGCGGACCUUGCGGAUCUCAAGAGCCGGCUGAAGAUGCAGGAGAUGGAGACCCGGAAGGCAAACGCCAAGUUUGUAUCCAGCAUCGCCGCUCAAGAAAAAUUGAAGACCGAGUUUGAUGCUGAGAAAAAAGCCUGGGUCGAAGAGAAGGCCGCACUGGUGACCCGGGCGGAACAGGCGGAGAAGGCCCUCGCUGAGAAGACCGCCGAGCUCUCCGGCCUAAAGCGCCAGGUUUCCCAAAUGGUGGCCGCUAUCUUUGGUCCCAGGAGUGCCAACCUCAACCAGAGCGUGGUCACCAAGUUAAAGGCCGUGUACACCCUAGUGGAACAGCUCUACACCGGGUCACAGCGUGCCUUAGCUGUGCUGGCCUUAUCCAACGAGGUGCCAACUCAUCUGGCCGAAGUCCUGCGCCGGCUCGCCGUUCUGCCUCAGCGGAUCUAA